rnacentral:rRNA from 1 species
GACAGAGGAUGCAAGCGUUAUCCGGAAUGAUUGGGCGUAAAGCGUCUGUAGGUGGCUUUUUAAGUCCGCCGUCAAAUCCCAGGGCUCAACCCUGGACAGGCGGUGGAAACUACCAAGCUGGAGUACGGUAGGGGCAGAGGGAAUUUCCGGUGGAGCGGUGAAAUGCGCAGAUAUCGGAAGGAACGCCGGUGGCGAAAGCGACGUGCUGGACCUCUUCUGACGCUGAGGCGCGAAAGCCAGGGGAGCAAACGGG